UAGUAACCCUUUAACAUUUUCACCAGCAUUGCACUGAGAAGUACCUGGUGGUAUACUAAGCUCAGCAUAUCCUCCAGGUGUUUGCUAGUUGCUGCUGGCUAGUCUGAAGGAGCUGUGUGGGGUGAGUCACUAGGAAAGGCUGCUCUGAGGCGGAAACUGCAGCUCCCAGGAGGACCUUCGUCCUGGAAGGCGAUGCUCGAUCCCAUCAAGCCUUCUACAAACCCGAAUGUUUGCCAGAUUAGAGGGUUUCUCAAGCAUGAAUUAACGAAUCAAGGUAACACUCCUGGUAUGUUUUUUAUGAGGGAAUAACUUUAUAAAACGAUGUAAAACUAAAA